rnacentral:lncRNA from 1 species
GGAUUGUUGUUUAAGGAAACAGAGAUGAUGGAGAGUUAAUUGGAAGAAGCCAUUAUUUUUCUUUGUUUUAUGAUGGCUCUGAUACCAUGUUAUGAACCCAAAAAUAAAGUAAAAAUUGUGUUAUAUUCUCAGUAAAGAUAUUGUUGUUUAAAUAGUACAUUGUUGGAUAAUAUUAAAGUUAGAAAGUAAAAUGAGAUAUGUACAGAAUAGACAAGAUAAAUAUGCUAGAGUUAUUGAGAUAAAGAU